rnacentral:tRNA from 1 species
UAAAAGGUGGCUGAGUCAUAGGCACUAGAUUGUAAAUCUAGCAACGAAUUUUAUUCCCUUUUAA